AGAUGAGGCUACGAAUUCUUAAUGCUUUUAGCAUCUUGGAUUCUUUCAAUCUUUCUGCUUUUAUCCCAGUGCAUGACUGUCUGCCUCAUAACCAUGAUACCAGCUGUACCUUCUGUCUUCCUGGCAAAAUUCUACAAAUUCCAACUUGCUUGGCUUAAAAGUAUAUCCCUACUACAUCAUUAGAAUAAGACUUGGGAUAAAUGUUCCCCUGGAGCCAAGAACUGUGUUUGAAGUUUCCAUGGACGUAUUGGCAGAACCAGGACCCAGAGUGGAAAGCCCAGGAAAGGAGAUGGGGAUAGUGAGGUAUGAUCAAAGCCUUGGAGGCCACUUCAUUCAUGUCUCACAUGCCACGAGCCAGUGGUUCUCAGUCGUGUGCAUCACAAUCCCCAGGAAUCCAUGCUCAAACACAGAUGGCUUAACUCCUGGAGUUUCUGUUUCAGAAGGCCUCGGCUGCACCCAGAAUCUGCUUUUCUGACAAGUCACAAGGUGAUGAAUGGUGUUUACAGAGAGAAGAUAUAACUGAUGCUGAUGGUCUUGGGAGUGCCUUUCCACACAUCUAGGGAGGAUCACUGAAACUCUAAUGGAGGGCGAGGGAAGGAGCCUCUCAUCUCAGUUAGACCAUUCAGUUGCCCUGCUGGGUCCUCCUGGGGCACAACCAUGCUAGGGAACUUUGGGUGUACCAAAACCCCAGGAUCUUGUCAAAGGCAGAUUCUGAUUCAGAAGGCAUGGGAUGGAAUCAGAGAUGCUGUAUUCUAACAAGGUUGUAGGUGAGAAUGCUAGUCUGGGGAUCACAUGUUGAGGGACAAGGCUGCAGUCACCUUGGUUGGCAGAUUCCCUCCUCUUCCUCAGCCUGCAUCACAGCAGGGCCACCCUGUUUCCAACCCUAGCUGUCCCCCACUCUGCUAGAGGCAGCAAUGCCCAAAUAUUCUGGGGUAGGCUGUCCAUAUCUUUGUCAAUUCUACUGAGCCUACGGACUAACUUAUUUGAGUGACAUUCUCAACUGCUUAGAAAGCUACUGGGCCAGAAAUGGAAAUGGCAGCAAACACUUUCUUGAGAAUUAGGAAGCCAAAUACUUUUUUUUUAAUCAUUAUUUUCCCCAGAUUCAGAGAUUGCUUAAUUCUCAACAAAAUAACAACUUUUAGAUUGCAAGAUAAAAUAUGAAAAUGUUGGCCAAGCUCAAGGCCACAGGAAAAGAGCAGAAAGUGUACACACUGUGAGAAAAUAGAGUUACAGAGUGUCUCUGUGGCAUAUUUCAAGUUCUGGAUUUACUCUAUUUUUCAGCUGUGUGCAUUUAUCUGCUUUCCAUAGAACCAGCUGGAGAUUUAAAUUUGCAUCAUGAAUAAUGCUGCCAGAAUUCUCCCUUGCAUCUGUUGGCUCCGAGGUUCUUCAGUGGCCAGCUGGUCACCAGAAGUGAUCAUAAAAGUACAACCAGUUCCAAGGAAAAGCAUUUUUCUCUAUUGCCUGUGGAGUGAGACAAGUAGGCAUCCCAUGACUCCCCUUUCUGGAGAACACUUUAAGGGACUCUGGAGAGCAGGAUCUUGCUAAAUGUCCCAAAAGUUCCUUCCAAAGGAGAAGAGACCCCAAAGAGGAAUCUAUGACAGUGCUUCUCUGGAAUCUGGCUUCAGAAUGAUUCUCAGUCUGGAAAGUAUUCCCAGUGAUUUGGGUGUGGACUGAAUGCUUCCCUGUCUCUCCAUGGGUGGGCUGGCUCUCAAUGCAGGGCCUGCCUUCUCAAGCUCAAGAUGUUCCCAGUCCAAUCACCUGAGGUUGUCAAACCAUCUUGCAGGACGGCAGCCACCAAAGAUCUGCAGCAGCUAGUCUGCAACCCUGAUUGACCAGAUGUUGAUGGAAACAAGCCAUCUACCUGCACCAGCAUCUGUGAGUUACUGAAAGAACUCAGGUCUAUAUUAUUCAAUAACCUGACUAGACAAUGGGGGAGGGGUGGUUCAAAUAUCGAUUAUUCGCAUCACUAAAUUUGGGGAAGAUUUGUUACCUAGCAGGUAGAUAGCCAAUUGUGUUGGACACCCCCAUGCUCACUCAUGCUACAACAACAGCGUUGAAUAGUUACAACAGAGACCAAAGGGCCAGCAAAGCCUGAAGCAUUUACUACCUGACCUUUUGAAGAGAAAGUUUGCCCUCCUCCUGCAUCCACAGAAUUCCUCCCAUACGUAGGUCCUAACUGGUGCUCUGAUUGUCUCCCCUUCCACAACUCAAACCAAGAAGCCACAAGAUGUAACAACUAAAUAGUAAAUUGGUAAUUAUAUUGCUGUUGAGUUGGGACCGGGCUCUACUACAAGGUCUGAUUGAAUCCCUGUGAUAAAAAUCUGUUCACUUGUGAAAUGUGUGUUUGGGGAAACAUGUGCACUGAGCUCUGGGGUGCAGAAACCCAAGUUCUUCCUUAGUCCACAAGGGCGGCUCUCCCGUGAUCCUGAUGAAGACACCCACAUUAAAUGCUUCAAAAGCAGUGAGCUAAGAGUGACUCAAAAUACAUUCUAUUUUGCAUGAAACAUCAAAAAAUAGGUGGCAUAUUAUUAACCAAAUUACUUUCAAAGUCACUAGCUUUCAAUUGCCAAAAAAUAAUUUUACCUUCUUUAUAAAGAAUCAGAAACUGUUAGUUAUGAAAUACAUGUUGGCUGUCAAAAAUAUGGAGGACAGUGAAAAUCAUUUGCUAUGCUUCAACACAGAUAAUUUUAUUAAUAUAUACAUUAUUAGCUAUACGUUAUAUGAUAUGUAGGAUUUUUUUUCUAAAUCAGAUAGAUCAUCUAUUUCCACAGUUUUCCAUCCAAUGGAUGUAUCAGUUAUAAUUCGUUAACUAUCCUACAUAUGCUAACUAAAUAUUCAGGUAUCUAAUUCUCAAAAAAGAUUAUGUGCAGUUAGUUUUAUGACAGAUAAAUGUUUUUGUUGCUGGAUUUCUUACAUUUGAUACAUUUAAAGUAUAUAUUAAAAUACAAUUUUGUUACAUAGCAUUAACAAAAAUAUGUCCUCUUUUCUGAUUUUCCUAGCUAAGUAAGGUAUGUUCUCUACACAUGCUUCACUUGUAAGCCUCUCAUCCUGCAUGCAGUUGAGCCAAGAACUUAUCCCACAGUAAAUGUUUGCCAGACGUCAAAGCAUAUUUGAAGUUUUUCAAAUAACAUUUUUGGAUUUCUUGGCUCUCUCGUGAGGAGUGUCUUCAAGGACAGAGCAUUCCUUUCAAAUAUGUAUUGUGUUUUCAAUAAAAACAAAAUAUGCUAUGAAUAAAUAUUACAUAAAAAAAUAAAGGGAGAGUCUAAAAUAGCAUAAAUACACCUUGACAAAACAUAGUUCCAGAGGCUUCUAUCUGACUAACCAAGGUAGUUCUGUAUUCUUUUAAGUCAGUAGUUUGUAAUUCAGGGGUUCCAUGAACUUAAUGGAAAAAAAAAAUACAUCCUUAUUUUCACUAAUCUCUACCUGGAACUUAGCAUAUCCUAGCAUUAUUGAAAAAGAAAUAUCAACACUGAAAUCACAGAUAGUUCACACCACACUGUAGAUAUUACAGAUCUCUCAACAGCUUGUUUGCAUCAAUUACCACUUUGAGAUUCUGGUAUUUAAGUGAUGCACCACCAGGUGUUGUGAUUUUAAAUACCCAUAAAGAGGCUUUUAUAUUUGA